rnacentral:ribozyme from 1 species
AAUAUUGAUUUGAUGGUCUGUAUUAAUAUGAUACACAUCUCGCCAUGGGAGGCCACUAUCGGAUUAAUGAAAGUAGCGAAGAAACAUUUACGAAGUCAUGAUGAUGAUAAGACAACUUAUACGGGUGGAUAUUUAUAUUGUUAUGGUCCCUAUAAAGUGAAGGGAACUGCC